rnacentral:misc_RNA from 1 species
CGCUGCAAUGAAUAUCCGGAGGAGAGGAUGGGGCCAGAUGGGUCAAGCAAUGGGCCUGAGAGACGGCACCGUUUUGCGGAGACCGGAGCGCCGGGUUGGUGUGGAAGAGAAGGGCGAGAACCGUGGAGCACUGCAAUGGGUUUCAAAGGAAAAAUGGAAGUAGCGUCGCUGGAAUCGAGGAGAACAGCGACAGUGGGUCCGGGUAGCAGUGUCGUUGGGCUUGAGAAGAUUGGAGCUAAAUGAGGGUUGAAGGGGCUGUGUGCGCUGGGUUUUGCUGCGUGAAGAAAGGAGAAGAAGGGAGUCAGGGACCUCGACGGGGAAGCCGAUAGUCGAGGUGGAGCUGAGCCUAGUUUUAGUUUUCGUGCUCUAAGUGUGUAUCGGGGAGCGAAGUGGACGGAAUGGGUAUGAAGCGGGGAAGAAGACGAUGAUUUUUCGUAGAGCUGGUACGACGAGGCGUUAAUUUUGUCGGUGAG